UGGGGAAUAUUGGACAAUUGGGGGAACCCUGAUCCAGCCCUGCCGCGUGUGUGAAGAAGGCUUUAUGGUUGUAAAGCACUUUUAGCGAGGAGGAGACUACUGUGAGUAAUACUCUUGGAUAGUGGACGUUACUCGCAGAAUAAGCACCGGCUAACUCUGUGCCAGCAGCCGCGGUAAUACAGAGGGUGCGAGCGUUAAUCGGAUUUACUGGGCGUAAAGCGUGCGUAGGCGGUUUUUUAAGUCGGAUGUGAAAUCCCCGAGCUUAACUUGGGAAUUGCAUUCGAUACUGGGAAGCUAGAGUAUGGGAGAGGAUGGUAGAAUUCCAGGUGUAGCGGUGAAAUGCGUAGAGAUCUGGAGGAAUACCGAUGGCGAAGGCAGCCAUCUGGCCUAAUACUGACGCUGAGGUACGAAAGCAUGGGGAGCAAACAGGAUUAGAUACCCUGGUAGUCCACGCCGUAAACGAUGUCUACUAGCCGUUGGGGCCUUUGAGGCUUUAGUGGCGCAGCUAACGCGAUAAGUAGACCGCCUG
rnacentral:rRNA from 1 species